rnacentral:lncRNA from 1 species
GGGUGUGGAGGUUCUAGGGUUUAGAUCUUAGGCAUUGGGAUUUGUGAGAGAAAAGAAAGAGUUCUCUUUUUUCUCCUCAUCUUCUUCCUCCAAGUCCUUCUUCAUCUCUGAGAGGAUCUGAGAGUUCAGAAGGAGGUGUUCAAUCAACCAUCAGGCGGUGGCUUCUACAAGAAUGCUAGCACUCCGAUAAAGCAAUAGA